rnacentral:rRNA from 1 species
GUUUGAUCCUGGCUCAGAACGAACGCUGGCGGCAUGCCUAACACAUGCAAGUCGAACGAGAUCUUCGGGUCUAGUGGCGCACGGGUGCGUAACGCGUGGGAAUCUGCCCUUGGGUUCGGAAUAACUUCGGGAAACUGAAGCUAAUACCGGAUGAUGACGUAAGUCCAAAGAUUUAUCGCCCAAGGAUGAGCCCGCGUAGGAUUAGCUAGUAGGUGAGGUAAAGGCUCACCUAGGCGACGAUCCGUAGCUGGUCUGAGAGGACGACCAGCCACACUGGAACUGAGACACGGUCCAGACUCCUACGGGAGGCAGCAGUGGGGAAUUUUGGACAAUGGGGGCAACCCUGAUCCAGCCAUACCGCGUGAGUGAAGAAGGCCUUCGGGUUGUAAAGCUCUUUCGGCAGGAAAGAAAUCGUGCAGGCUAAUAUCCUGUAUGGAUGACGGUACCUGAAGAAGAAGCACCGGCUAACUACGUGCCAGCAGCCGCGAUAAUACGUAGGGUGCGAGCGUUAAUCGGAAUUACUGGGCGUAAAGCGUGCGCAGGCGGCUUUGCAGGACAGACGUGAAAUCCCCGGGCUUAACCUGGGAACUGCGUUUGUGACUACAGGGCUAGAGUGUAGCAGAGGGGGGUAGAAUUCCACGUGUAGCAGUGAAAUGCGUAGAGAUGUGGAGGAAUACCGAUGGCGAAGGCAGCCCCCUGGGCUAACACUGACGCUCAUGCACGAAAGCGUGGGGAGCAAACAGGAUUAGAUACCCUGGUAGUCCACGCCCUAAACGAUGUCAACUAGGUGUUGGGGAAGGAGACUUCUUUAGUACCGCAGCUAACGCGUGAAGUUGACCGCCUGGGGAGUACGGUCGCAAGAUUAAAACUCAAAGGAAUUGACGGGGACCCGCACAAGCGGUGGAUUAUGUGGAUUAAUUCGAUGCAACGCGAAAAACCUUACCUACCCUUGACAUGCCAGGAACCCUGCUGAGAGGCGGGGGUGCCCGAAAGGGAACCUGGACACAGGUGCUGCAUGGCUGUCGUCAGCUCGUGUCGUGAGAUGUUGGGUUAAGUCCCGCAACGAGCGCAACCCUUGCCAAUAAUUGCCAUCAUUCAGUUGGGCACUUUAUUGGGACUGCCGGUGAUAAACCGGAGGAAGGUGGGGAUGACGUCAAGUCCUCAUGGCCCUUAUGGGUAGGGCUUCACACGUAAUACAAUGGUCGGUACAGAGGGUUGCCAAGCAGCGAUGCGGAGCCAAUCCCAGAAAGCCGAUCGUAGUCCGGAUUGUUCUCUGCAACUCGAGAGCAUGAAGUCGGAAUCGCUAGUAAUCGCGGAUCAGCAUGUCGCGGUGAAUACGUUCCCGGGUCUUGUACACACCGCCCGUCACACCAUGGGAGUGGAAUCUGCCAGAAGUAGGUAGCCUAACCGCAAGGAGGGCGCUUACCACGGUGGGUUUCAUGACUGGGGUGAAGUCGUAACAAGGUAGCCGUA